UGAAUCACAAGACAUGGCUCAUCUCCAGGAUGGAUCCUAUCAAAUAUGUAUUCGAAAGCCCAUUUGUGCCAGGAAGGAUAGCCAAAUGGCAGGUCAUACUCUCUCAAUAUGACAUUGUCUAUAUGACCCGGAAAGCAGUAAAAGGUAGCGUAAUCACUGAUCUCCUAGCAGAAAACCCUAUCCAAGAUUAUGAAGCCUUGGAUUUUGAGUUCCCUGAUGAGC
rnacentral:misc_RNA from 1 species